GGAUUGUAGUCUGNAACCCGACUACAUGAAGCUGGAAUCGCUAGUAAUCGCGGAUCAGAAUGCCGCGGUGAAUACGUUCCCGGGUCUUGUACACACCGCCCGUCACACCAUGGGAGUCGGAAAUGCCCGAAGCCGGUGACUCAACCUUUAAGGAGAGAGCCGUCGAAGGCAGGUCUGAUAACUGGGGUGAAGUCGUAACAAGGUACC
rnacentral:rRNA from 1 species